GCGGUGGGCAUCCAUCCCGCAGAGCUUCGCUUCCCCCCAGGAAAUGGCAGGAGCGCAGCUGGGCGCUCGCGAGCGAGAUCAAACUUUGUUCCAGACGCAGUGGUUUGGCCAGGGAUUGCGUGGUUGGCGCUGAAAUGCAGUCUUUCUGGACAGAUUUCAUUCAUGUUGCUGCUUGUUUACCCAGGGCUCGACACAGAUGCAACGCCGCGAUGCAUCAACUUCCUGGGGAUUUUUAUUUUUUUUUGCUUCUUUGCAAACGAGGAGUCCAAUAUUUUUACCGAGUUGCCGUUCGAGGGAGCAGGAUCCCAAAGUUGACGUCUCUCGUUUCAGCUCCCUCGGUUUGGCAAGGAAGGGGAAAUGGCCCGAGCCGGUAGCGCAUCUCGGGGAGCCGUGCCUGGAGUCGCAGCCGUAGUUAGAACCGGGUGCUUCUCUCCUACGUAGCGGCGUGCACAGGCACAUAAGCUUAAAUACGAAAUACCUGUCACGCUGAGAUGCAAAUGUUGGAGAAGAGGAAACCGGGGAAACAAGGAUAACUGGAAGUCUAGAUCAGGGCUACAGAUUAACCCUGUUGAGGUGUUAGAGGCACAGUCGAUGUGUUACAGCUAAUUUGCUAUUGUCCCCUCUCCCAAAAGAGACCCACGGGAGGAUGCCAAGCAGAAAGGGGCGAAUCCUCCCCCCGGUGUAAAAAGAUGUGGCUCCGUUAUGUUCCUCUGGGUUUGGGAGGAUGUCCUCCCCGGAGGCUCUGCUGAACCUCUGCUGCCAGGGGAACGCGUUGCGGGAUCCGUGCGCCUCGUCCUAGCGCUGUUUGCAGGCAUGUCUCCCCCGGGAGGGCCACCGUUGUUUUCCCUCGAGUCCUGGUGCUGUGCCUGUAGGUUUCAGGUGGCACCGCGUUGCCUUCCUGACAUUGCAGCACUGGCAGUGCAGGCUCCUACUGAGCCUUUCAUUUUGUUUUGCGGAUCUGUAGCCCCCUCUGUAGCAGCUUGGUGCAUUUAAAUGAACUUCAUUCUGACCCUCAUUUAUCUCCCCUCCAGGGGCAUGAUUCAGAGUUUUUUGUCUCCAUUUUGCUGUAGCUUUACCUGACACAAAUCUCAGUCCUGGUUGGAGCAAAUGGCAUUUCUCGAAGAUGUUCGAAUCAGGCCCUAGCAAGCUGUCCAUUUUGUUUUGCCUCUCUCCCUGUGCCAUUCUGUUUCCUAUGCAAAUGCCUGUCAUGCUUUGCUUUUUAGCAUCGUGCAAGAAGUAGUUUGACAUCCUGUUACGCAUAUUCAGAGUUACAGGUGCAAACAAGACUUGGGCCUUCUUGUAAUGAAAACCAUUUUUUAUUGCUGUUUACGUUUAUUUAGAUUUAAUCCAAGGGAGCGCUGCACACUCUUAAGUACUUCCAUAGCAGCUAGACCAAACGUUGUAAGCCAUUAAAAACAUCGGGCUGUUUCUUCACCAGGGAGAUACGCAUCUGUUUAUUUAGCCCUCACCAUUUUGAUGUCUGAGUGCUCGACGGUCGGUUGCGAAUGUUUCCUUCCCAGGCACUUAAAAGGUGGGGAAGUCUGAUGGGAGAGAUUAUUUGACCUGCUCAGAACUACUUGGGAAACCUGUGGUAGGUUGCUCGAAGUGCUGGAAGCCGCAUCUGUGUGUAGUGGCAUAACCACAAGUUCAUCCUUCCUCCGUGUUCAGAACUUCAAACACCGUGAUAAGCCUGCUGCACAUGAAGUUGUUUUCUCCUUACGUCUUUCUGGACUACUCUAGGAGAGGAGGCAGGUCUUGGUGCUCUGGGGGUUUGGUAAGUUGGGUACCAAGUGGGCACGCAGUCAUGAAAAUGGGUUGGUUUGGUCCAUCAGACGCAGAUGAGAAUCACUGGUUAGGUCUUUGCUGGAGGUACCAUGGCCCAUAUGUUAUUGGAGGUGAGCAAAAGAGGGCAAAAGGAGACCCUUUAUCAAUACCUUUUUUGCUUGCAAUUUUGAUAGGGGACAGGGGGUGUUGUCUCGUUGGCAGGCAAACAUCAACCCUUGAAAGCUUUUACAGGUUGAAUUCAACACCUUAAAUUCCAUCUGGACAGUGAAACUGGUAACCUGUGAAGAUCACAGGAUGCAAGCAUGGGGGGCACAUGAGUUUGAGCGUGAAGUAAUCAGGGGCUGCUCUGAUCCAGGUUGUGAGCGUGGGUGUUGGGGCGGAUGGUCUGAGGAUCCGAGAGGCACAAACCGUUCUUUCAGGGCUUCCCCGUCAGCUGUGCAGAGCACUUAGUGGUUACAGCUGAGGUUUUUUAGCCUCGUGUCAUACCCAGUCAUCUUGGAAGCUGCUGAGUAAGAUCAGCAUUGCAAGAUAACCCUCUUCUUCCUAUAAACGAUGGUCGUGCGCCUUCAGACGAGGGUGUUCUUUGGGUGGGUAUGUCAGCCUGCACGAGUCUUGCUCUUCUGCAGAUGCCUUGUUGUUUCUUGGGCAGGGCCAAAGGUGCCUGGAUGAAGGCGAUGGCACUCGUUAGCAUGCUGCAGGCAGUGGUUCGCGUCUCCUUUAUAACCCUCUUGGGCACCUUGCCCUGUGGUAGGGGAGUAGGGCUGACAAAAGAGAAGGAGGCAAUAGCGUCAGGAACCAGCUGCUGGAGUAUGUGAGCGGUUGCUGGCAUCUCGGGCAAACUAGAGGGACUCCAAGCAAAUGAGAGCGACCAAGCAGGAUGCCCAGCUUUCAUGUCUUCGAGGAGGGUAUCUUGGAAGUGUAGUAGGAAGUGAAGUCUUAAGUGCUUUGACUUCUCGAUCUUCCCUGAAGAGACAGACUGCUCCUUUCAGUCCUUGCAUUGUGUAGCUGAUCAGUUACGAAGCCUAGUGGUUUCCGAAGAGCUGAAGCCAAAGCAGAGGGUCUCUGGAAGCCUUUCUGCUCAGAGGUGACCUUCACCACUACUGCUGGUUUCUGCCUCGGCUCAGCAGCCCUGGGAGGAUCUGCCAGGGAGGUACAUGAGUGCUGAUUUCUUUCCAAGACCACAGCAGAGCCUUUGCACAGCAGCUGAUUGCAUUCAGAAACUCGGCACCUUUUUAUGGCAGCAGAGGGAACUAGAAGGCUUAACGAGUGCUGUUGGCUCCUCCAGAAAAGGAAGGAGGGAUUUAUGUUGUUCUGUAGGACCUCAAAUAAAAAUAGUAUAAAGCCAAAAAUGUUUUCUGACUUCUGCAAAGUAAGCGUGUAAACUCAGUGGAAAUAGGAGAAACAUUUAUGCAAUGUCUGCUGUGUUGCACAUACCUGAGCAGUUUCCAGAGAGGUGGAAAUAGUUAAAGAAAGUGGCAAAGAAGGACAGAUCCCCAUCGGAGUACCAGUUGCCAUGCUAUGGGAACACGGGACAUUGCCUGUUCUGUUCCUCCAUGCAUGCAUUGAAUCUCUGGAAUCCAUAUAACAUUUCCAGCAAAGACAUGUAUUAAGAAAAAAGAUACAGACCCAGGAAUAACUUUGCUCCUUUUGAGAAAAUACCAUUUGGGUAUCAGGAUCAGUGCCAGCUUCUGAAGCAACAAACAAACAAGUGAAACCCCCAAAAGAUUCUUCUCUUCUAGAGUAUCAUGUACAUUGCUGGAAAGUGCAUAUGUCUGUAUAAGGGUCUGCGUGUUUACAUCCUAUAGAUCUGAAUUUGCCUGAGAUUUAAAUGUCUGCAUUUGUAUUUGCUUGCUUGCUGUCUGCUGUGAGGCAAAGCAGCUGGAAGUGCACAUGCUUAAGGAAAAGAAAAUGCAUCUAACCAGGAGCAUUGUGGAAAAUUAAAAGAACUGAUUGACUGGCCAAAUUCAGUUUUAGUUUUGGUUCCUCAGGAACAUGUAGCACGUAGCUUCCAAAAUCCCCUCAAAAUGCAGGAAGCAAAUGUCAUAGAUCGUGUCUUCAGUAUGGCCAGCUGUUGAUAUGCCUGAGAGGAAUGUGUGCAGUGGUUACUUGCACAAAUCUGGUUAAGUUUGCGUUGCCCACAUUUGAAAACCUGUCUCAGCAUCUGCCUCCACAGUUUGCAAGGUGUUGAUGGUACCCGAGGCACAGUGCUGCCCCAUCACCUUGCAGGCUGUGCUCUGUUAUGGAUUCAACAGGAACAGAGUCAGUCUGGUAGCAAAUACAAUCAUGAGCAAGUGGUUAGGGUGUGCCACGAAUCUGGAGUAAUUCUGUCAUUGCAGUAUUUCAGUGGGGUGUCUGUAAUUGCUUCUUUAGUUAUCAUAAAUGUACGCUGAGUCUGUGAUCUGCAAGAAAAGGAAGCAGGAAAGAACAAAUAAUGCACCUGUGACAACAGCACUUGCUGAAUUCAUGGAGGGAGCUCUGAAGCCUUCUUUCAGUCCCCCCCAAUCUGUGACCCAGCACUGACUGAGCUCAACGGGAGUGUGCUUCAGCAAGGCUGGAAAGCAAAGUUUCCACUUCUUCUCACUCCUCCUCAAGUAGCGGCCAUAUCUCAAGUCUCAUAGUCCCGUGUUUCUUGUUAUGGGAUGCUGGGCCAGCUACAAGUCUCUGCAGCUGCAAUUGCAGUGGGUGACAGGGGACUGGGGGCUGUCCUCCCUGUGAAUGAAGCCACCUUCACUCCUCCCUUGUCCUCAUCAGUAAACUAAGGGCUAGGUGGAUAUUGAGACAGAGUAAGCGGGAAAACCCUUCCACCCAUUUGAAGUGCAAUCACCCUGGAGCAGCAUAGUUAGACACCAAAGCGUACCCUCUGCAUGGCUGUCCUCCCGCUCCUGUCACGGGUGUCUGGAGGGGAGGAUCCGCUUUGCGCAGUGCCCAGGAAGAUUGCAGCAAAUCUGUUCAGCGUUUGAGCGCUUCACCAGCUAUCGAGGCCGUUUGCCUAUUUUUACCCAUGCAUAUGCUGCAGAAAAAUGACAUGGGUGGGUUUGCAAAUGGAGGCAUUUCUGAGAGUGAAUUGUCUUUCCAACACCAGUCUCGUCCUUCAACAUUUAAGUAGUGGAGGCAAAAGCAACCUCAAAGUUACGGUUAGUGGAGAUGGGAUGUAGAAGUGUUCCCCACUGCUUUGCAGUAAGAGGAGCACUGUCGUGACUUUGACUGGCAGCGAUAGCAGCAGCUGUCUCUCCUAACACACCCUUAGCAGUGUCCCUUCUGCUGUCGUUUCUCAAAGGCAUGCUGUAACACGGCCUUCUGCCUGCAUCUGUACUUGAUAUCUUCAUAACAAUGUCCAAAGCAGCACUCCCAGACUCUCCCAGGGAGUGGCUUCUUCAUGAGAUUUCUGUUUUACUUCUAAAUUUGGACUGUGAGGUUUCAUUUAAGCUAGAGAAGCUGCUUGCAGUAGUGGGACUGAUUUGAGGUUUUUACCUCAGACAUUACAUCCAGCUUCCAUGUUCUUUGAUUAUCACCACAAUGCAUCCUUCAAAUAAACUGCUUAAACUAAAACUCCAUGUUUUGUUUGGUCUGACUUUGCUUCUGUCUCACCGAAGGCGAGUUUGCUGGAGUGACAGUGUCACAUACCACACAUGAUGUAGCAUGUUACUAAUUAUUGCGCACGGGCGCAGGCAGCACCAUUCCAUACGUUCUCAUUUCCAUUUGUUACUAAUUAGGAAUUGUCCUGCUGCUGGUGGGCUCUGGUGCUCACUGUGUAUCAUUCAUAGGGUAGAAAUCUGCUGGAGGGUGAUGUUUACUUUGAGUAACUCUAAACAGCCGUCUCCCCCUUGCUAUUUUCCCCAAAGUUUGAUUUCCCUGGCUUUAAAAAAAUGUGAGAUGUGGAGAAUGAGGAGUAGCUGAUCUUGCUGUCCUUCAUAACCCGAUGCUAAGGAAAGUUGUGAACAUGAGGCUGUGCAGUACAAUCCUAUCAAGCCUUAAAUGAUGGUUAGGAAAUAGAAAGCAAGCGUGGGAAUAAAUGGUGAAUUCUUAAAGGUGACCUAUAAAGUGCUCUAAAAUGGAGUCGUCCCUUUAACAAUACGCAAACAGCAACAGGAAAGGGAGCAUUUAGUCGCAUACUUUUUUAUUUUUUUUUUAAUCUCUGAAGUUCUGUGAAAUUGCUGCAGCAGCCUGUCCCCGCUGUGCCGCGGUGCCCCAGAACACUCUGAUGUCUCUGGUACCCCACUGGGCGAUUGAUCUACCCUGUACAGGUUCUGUGCGGUGGUGAUUUUCUAUUAUGAGAUGGCACAGUUUAGCACGGCCUAUGAUCACACUGUUUUAUAUCCUUUCAAGGUAAUAUAUACUUAA